CCUACGGGAGGCAGCAGUGGGGAAUAUUGGGCAAUGGGCGAAAGCCUGACCCAGCAACGCCGCGUGAAGGAAGAAGGCGUUCGGGUUGUAAACUUCUUUUGACAGGGAAGAGCAGAAGACGGUACCUGUCGAAUAAGCCACGGCUAACUACGUGCUAGCAGCCGCGGUAAUACGUAUGGGGCAAGCGUUAUCCGGAUUUACUGGGUGGAAAGGGAGGGCAGGCGGCUUGGCAAGUCUGAUGUGAAAGGCGGGGGCCCAACCCGCGGACUGCUUUGGAAACUGUAUGGCUGGAGUGCAGGAGAGGUAAGUGGAAUUCCUGGUGUAGCGGUGAAAUGCGUAGAUAUUAGGAGGAACACCAGUGGCGAAGGCGGCUUACUGGACUGUAACUGACGUUGAGGCUCGAAAGCGUGGGGAGCAAACAGGAUUAGAUACCCUUGUAGUC
rnacentral:rRNA from 1 species